AGCGAACGCUGGCGGCAGGCCUAACACAUGCAAGUCGAACGAACUCUUCGGAGUUAGUGGCGGACGGGUGAGUAACACGUGGGAACGUGCCUUUAGGUUCGGAAUAACUCAGGGAAACUUGUGCUAAUACCGAAUGUGCCCUUCGGGGGAAAGAUUUAUCGCCUUUAGAGCGGCCCGCGUCUGAUUAGCUAGUUGGUGAGGUAAAGGCUCACCAAGGCGACGAUCAGUAGCUGGUCUGAGAGGAUGAUCAGCCACAUUGGGACUGAGACACGGCCCAAACUCCUACGGGAGGCAGCAGUGGGGAAUCUUGCGCAAUGGGCGAAAGCCUGACGCAGCCAUGCCGCGUGAAUGAUGAAGGUCUUAGGAUUGUAAAAUUCUUUCACCGGGGAUGAUAAUGACGGUACCCGGAGAAGAAGCCCCGGCUAACUUCGUG
rnacentral:rRNA from 1 species